rnacentral:lncRNA from 1 species
UAAUGUAUUUGCUUGCUUGUUCUACCGCUACGCUCGGUUAUUAUGCUACUACGCUUGUUGCAUUUUUAUUUUAUUUUUUAUUUUUUCUGUCAAGAUGAGCGAAAGUCUUUAUGAAAGAAUAAAUAACAACGUGAAGAGCAUAAGAAGUAAUGUUAUAAAGGCGUUCGAAAAUAUAAGACAAAUAGAUAAUAUAUAUGUGUAUGAUGUUCGUACACAGAUACAAAAUAAAGUUAAUUCUUUGCUACAUAAGUGCUUACCACCACCUGAAGAUAAAAAAAUAGUCAAUGAAAAAAGAUUUAUAGUUAUAAUUGAGAAAAAUAAAACUAAUUAUGACAAUUUCCGUUGUCCUAUAUGUAUGUUAACAUUAUUCCAACCUGUUCGAACCAAAUGUAAACACAUUUACUGCAAAGAAUGUAUAGAAGCAACAUUAAAAAAAUAUAACCACUGUCCGUUAUGUCGAAGGCCUACUACAGAUAAUAUAUUAGAAAGAUUACCAAACAGUUAUUUUGGACCUGAAUACACAAAUAUUAAAAUACGUUGUUAUAAAUGUAAACAGAUUACCACUAUAGAAAAAUAUGAACAACAUUUAAAAAACCACAUAAAUUAUUAUGACCACCAUGAUGAAACUAAUUUUUUUUAUAAAAAUAGCUGUUGUACUAAUUCUCUGUUUUGUUUUGAUAAUAAAAAUUAUAGGAACAACUAUAGCAACUACAAUUCCUACUUAAAACGUACGUUUCCAAAAUUGAAAAACAUAAAGGCACUCUUUAAUAAAAAAAUUAGAAUAAACGAAAUGAAUACGUUUUUAUUGUAUAUCGAAAAUAUAAGUAUAGUUACAGACAUACAUAGUAUACAACUGGUUUGUGGACGAAAGGUUUUCAACGCAGCAAUUUAUUUAGAUGAACAGCAUACUACAACCGACUUCGGAAAAAACAGAACGACUGACGUUUUUUUAGUUAUCAAAUUGAAAAAAAAACAGAAAGCGAAUAAAACGGAUGAAACGGAAAAAACGGAUAAAAUGGAAAAAACGGAUAAAAUGGAAAAAACGGNNNNNNNNNNGAAAAAACGGAAAAAAUGGAAAAAACGGAAAAAAUGGAAAAAACGGAUACGAAUGACUUGCCAAAAAAUUACAUAUCAACGAGUGACGUACAAGCCAAUUCGACAGAAACAAAAAACAAAAAAGGAAUGCAGCAUUUUGAAGAAGAUAACAAACAAAUAAAUACGUUUGAAACUUAUGAAUCAUACAAAGAAUAUAUACAUAAAAAAAUGAGUAAAAAAAAAAAUAAAGCAAAUGGAUAUAUAUAUAUUAUAUUUGAA